CCUACGGGUGGCAGCAGUGAGGAAUAUUGGUCAAUGGGCGCGAGCCUGAACCAGCCAAGUAGCGUGAAGGAUGACUGCCCUCCGGGUUGUAAACUUCUUUUAUUAAGGAAUAAAGUGAGGCACGUGUGCCUUUUUUUAUGUACUCUAUGAAUAAGGAUCGGCUAACUCCGUGCCCGCAGCCGCGGUAAUACGGGGGAUGCGAGCGUUAUCCGGAUUUAUUGGGUUUUAAGGGAGCGUAGAUGGGUUGUUAAGUCAGUUGUGAAAGUUUGCGGCUCAACCGUAAAAUUGCAGUUGAUACUGGCAGUCUUGAGUGCAGAUGAGGUAGGCGGAAUUCGUGGUGUAGCGGUGAAAUGCUUAGAGAUCACGAAGAACUCCGAUGGCGAAGGCAGCUGACUGAGCUGCCACUGACGCUGAUGCUCGAAAGUGUGGGUAUCAAACAGGAGUAGAUACCCGGGUAGUC
rnacentral:rRNA from 1 species